rnacentral:rRNA from 1 species
AUUGAACGCUGGCGGCAUGCCUUACACAUGCAAGUCGAGCGGCAGCACGGGGCAACCUGGUGGCGAGUGGCGAACGGGUGAGUAAUGCAUCGGAACGUACCUUUCAGUGGGGGAUAACGUAGCGAAAGUUACGCUAAUACCGCAUAUUCUGUGAGCAGGAAAGCAGGGGAUCGCAAGACCUUGCGCUGAUUGAGCGGCCGAUGUCAGAUUAGCUAGUUGGUGAGGUAAAGGCUCACCAAGGCGACGGUCUGUAGCGGGUCGGAGAGGAGGAUCAGCCACACUGGAACUGAGGCACGGUCCAUACUCCUACGGGAGGCAGCAGUGGGGAAUUUUGGAAAAUGGGGGCAACCCUGAUCCAGCCAUGCCGCGUGGGUGAAGAAGGCCUUCGGGUUGUAAAGCUCUUUCGGCCGGGAAGAAAUCGCACGGGCUAAUACCCUGUGUGGAUGACGGUACCGGAAUAAGAAGCACCGGCUAACUACGUGCCAGCCGCCGCCGUAACAC